GACGAACGCUGGCGGCGUGCCUAAUACAUGCAAGUAGAACGCUGAAGAGAGGAGCUUACUCUUCUUGGAUGAGUUGCGAACGGGUGAGUAACGCGUAGGUAACCUGCCUUGUAGCGGGGGAUAACUAUUGGAAACGAUAGCUAAUACCACAUAACAAUGGAUGACACAUGUCAUUUAUUUGAAAGGGGCAAUUGCUCCACUACAAGAUGGACCUGCGUUGUAUUAGCUAGUAGGUGAGGUAAUGGCUCACCUAGGCGACGAUACAUAGCCGACCUGAGAGGGUGAUCGGCCACACUGGGACUGAGACACGGCCCAGACUCCUACGGGAGGCAGCAGUAGGGAAUCUUCGGCAAUGGGGGCAACCCUGACCGAGCAACGCCGCGUGAGUGAAGAAGGUUUUCGGAUCGUAAAGCUCUGUUGUAAGUCAAGAACGGGUGUGAGAGUGGAAAGUUCACACUGUGACGGUAGCUUACCAGAAAGGGACGGCUAACUACGUG
rnacentral:rRNA from 1 species